GGGCAAGGAGACCCUGUUGGGCAAAAAGUUGUCUAAGGAGACAGCGCUGGGUCGCAUGGCUGGGCCAUUCGAUUUUCUCCCCUUUCCUAACUUGCGGCCUAGUCCCGAAAAAGGAGGCUGGAUGAUUCUUUUUGGAUGAUUCAUCACUUGUCCUAGCUGGCUGGGAGUUCAGUGAAUGAUGACAUUGACAGAGAGUUCAGCAGGGUCUGGUAUGCCUCUUUUGAUCGGGCUCUGUCGCUGAUUAGAAAAGCUGGAGUAGGGGCACUCAUGGCAAAAUCUGAUAUUGAAUGGGCCUUCCGGUUAUUGCCGGUUCACCCGGAAUGUUUUCACCUUCUGGGUUGUCAGUUUCAAGGGUCAUAUUUUUAUGAUAUGUGCCUUCCCAUUUCCUGUUCCUAUUUCGAAAUGUUUGCUUCGUUUUUUGGAAUGGGUAGUUGUUCAGUUCGCAGGUAUUGCGUCAGUUACACAUUAUCACGAUGAUUUUCUGUUUGUGGGUCCUCGGGAUGGGGUUGAGUGUGCCCAGUUAUUGUUGGUUGUUCCGUGCAGUGGCGCACAGUAUAAUGGGCGGUCGUGCUGGUUGCAAGUAACGGGGUCUAAUUCUGAGUUGGAUCUCUUCACGGAUGCGUCUGGUUCAGUCGGGUUUGGGGCCUUCUUUAGGGGUAAGUGGUGUGCAGCGGCGUGGCCUCCAGAAUGGCGUGAGUUAGACGUUAUGCAUAACCUUACCUUCCUGGAACUUUUCCCCAUAGUGGUGGCUCUGGCAUUGUGGGGUGAGGACCUGCGGGAUCGGGUGGUGGUUUUUCACACGGACAAUAUGAGUGUUGUCCAUGUGAUUAACCGAUCAUCUUCUUCUCCUGUUUUGGCAAUUUAAGUUUAAUGUAGCGAUUUCGAGGUUUGUUCGUUGCCUUGGCGGUGUGUCGGUUCGACACACGAAGUUGGAAGGGGACAAUUGAAGGUUAAUGAGGGACGAUGGGGUUCACCUGAAUCCUAUUGGGCUGGAUAUAUUUAACGUGGGUAUCCAAGGAGGGAUUGAAACAGCGCUGUCUGCGAGGGGCGCGAUGCAGAUAAAUGAAGAUCAGGGUCGGCAGCGCGGUGGCGGCGGUCCUGGCCAGCGCAAGUAAUGCAAGACAAGGCUUUGGGGAGUCGCACCUGGCAGGGCUGAUGGCAGAAGGCAGACUGUACGGACUCUUGGAAUUAUCCGGUGUAUCUGUCUGUUGGGUAAUCACCCCAACAGCAGACAGCUGGUGAUAUAAAGCUGGCUGAGUUGAUAUGUUGGAAUAAUAAAGCUGUGGCUGUUGCCCUUACUCCAAUACUCAGGUGUCUUGACGUUAUUGGGGGGGCAACGGGAAUGUAAGUGGUCUGCAGUCAUGAGCAAUUACUGCCUCUUGAGUUUAGCUCCACCGAGCUAACCAAACCAGGAAGUAACAUGAUUCGUUAUCUGAUUGACAGCUGGGGAAAAGGGGGUUAAUAAUGGCCAUUUAUAAAAGUGCUAAUUUCUAUUGAAACCUGCACUUUUCUAAAUGAAAAAAAAAGAGGACACACUUCACACAGUGCGUUAGGGGUCUGGAGUAUCCCUUUAAUAUACCAACUGCAGAGCCUAUUCAUACCUCAGGGUCCCAGAUUUGCUUGCCAGCUGGUUGAACUAUUUUUAAGGUCAAUUCUAAGAGUUCUAGUGUAAAGUGAUAAUUUCUUGGCCCCCGGACUUACUUUGACAGGAAAUCUCAAUGUAUCCUUCUUGGUAAAACACUUUGAUUUAAAUUUUUAUCCCAGGGAAGCCUUACAUUUAUUGUUAAGCGUUUCAGAGAACUAGCCUCGUGGGCAAUUUCACCGAGUUCUCAAUUUCAGCUCCACAAACUUGUCUGUUUGGAUAGAAAAAUACUUUAUACCUUAUACUUACUUCAAGAACCCGGUAAAUAGUCAUUCUUCCCUCAUGCUGAAAGGAUUAAAAGAACAAUUCCUCUUUGAUGUAUACUAGCCACCAGAUCUCUCCAAGUUUGUUUUUUUUUCACAGAGAGAACCGUGGUGACAAUGCACUGAGAUAAAGGGGGCUUAUUCAUCAAACGUUUUUUGUUUGUUUGGAAGGUUUUUUUUGUGAGAGAAAUAAGACCUCUUUUCAUCAAGGUGUGAAUGUUACAAUCUUUGAAUAAUAAUCUGUGCUGAAUACACAGGGAGGGUACCAUGGUUUGUUGUUUUUUAUGCUAUAAAAAAAUAAUUGCCUGAAAAGACAGCAGUUGUUUUCAUUUUAUUAUUUUUUUCUUACACUGCAGAUACAUGGAUAGGGUUUGUUUGUUAAAUAAAUAAAACCAAUUAGAAUGAAUUAAAAAAAUCAAUUAUUUUUUUCAUUGAAGGUCCGUUCUCUGUUAUCCAUAUGACAAUAUGUGUGUAAAAAAGGGGCUACAAGGUUUUUUUGUACGUUCAGAUGAUCAGCUUGUCAAUGUGGCUGGGAUUAAUAAGAAGUCUAAAGAAACUUGAGUCAAAGUUUUCUAAAAUAAACGUGCUUGCCAUUUUGUGUCAGUAUUUUACCAGUUUGGUAUCUAGAGGACUGGUCACCUACAGGGCUUUCACAUUUCUGGGGAAUGAAACCUAUGAAAAUGUUUCAGCAAGAAGUAUGGGAGUUGUUCACAGAUGGACAUUAGUGGCAACCCUGUAGGACGUCUUACCCACAAAGCUCAUCCUUUGUCAUCUUACAGCAGGUGAGGGUCAGUCCAACCUCGAAAGUGGGUGGAGUUUCAAACCAAGAGUCUCAGCAUAAAACCCAGCAUGCACCAGAUAUGCAGAUUGAGAUCUUUCUAUUGGUUACCCUUACUCAAGGCCUGAGGCGUCCACCCUUACCCACCAGUUGUUGUUGGACUGUAGUUCCCAUAAUCCUCUACCAAUUGGCAGAGCACCUAGUCCAAUCUCAGUUAAAGUGCCGAGGUUGUACACGCUUUUUCAAAAUGCUUCUCAUUGUUGAUUUCUGUGUAUUUCUCAGGGACUGGUAGCAUUUAGGGUGCCAAAUGAAAUGGAAGGGUUUAUUUUUUUAUUAUCCAAUAAUUGUAUGUACCGUGAAGGAAAUAAAAUGAUUUAAAGUCACUGCUGCGGACAUGCUAUUCAUGCUGCAUUAGGAUUAUUGCGUUAACACUUUUUGUUUGUAUAAAUAUAACGUAACAUUUAUUUAAAACAUGG